AUUGAACGCUGGCGGCAUGCCUUACACAUGCAAGUCGAACGGUAACAGGUCUUCGGAUGCUGACGAGUGGCGAACGGGUGAGUAAUACAUCGGAACGUGCCCAGACGUGGGGGAUAACGAGGCGAAAGCUUUGCUAAUACCGCAUACGAUCUAAGGAUGAAAGCAGGGGACCGCAAGGCCUUGCGCGUUUGGAGCGGCCGAUGGCAGAUUAGGUAGUUGGUGGGAUAAAAGCUUACCAAGCCGACGAUCUGUAGCUGGUCUGAGAGGACGACCAGCCACACUGGGACUGAGACACGGCCCAGACCCCUACGGGAGGCAGCAGUGGGGAAUUUUGGACAAUGGGCGAAAGCCUGAUCCAGCAAUGCCGCGUGCAGGAUGAAGGCCUUCGGGUUGUAAACUGCUUUUGUACGGAACGAAAAGGCUCUGGCUAAUACCUGGGGCACAUGACGGUACCGUAAGAAUAAGCACCGGCUAACUACGUG
rnacentral:rRNA from 1 species